rnacentral:rRNA from 1 species
GAUGAACGCUGGCGGCGUGCCUAAUACAUGCAAGUCGAGCGAACAGACGAGGAGCUUGCUCCUCUGACGUUAGCGGCGGACGGGUGAGUAACACGUGGAUAACCUACCUAUAAGACUGGGAUAACUUCGGGAAACCGUAGCUAAUACCGGAUAACAUUUUGAACCGCAUGGUUCAACAGUGAAAGACGGUCUUGCUGUCACUUAUAGAUGGAUCCGCGCCGCAUUGGCUAGUGGGUAAGGUAACGGCUUACCAAGGCAACGAUGCGUAGCCGACCUGCGAGGGUGAUCGGCCACACUGGAACUGAGACACGGUCAAGACUCCUACGGGAGGAAGAAGUAGGGAAUCUUGCGAAAUGGGCGAAAGCCUGACGGAGAACCGCCGCGUGAGUGAUGAAGGUCUUCGGAUCGUAAACCUCUGUUAUUAGGGAAGAACAAAUGUGUAAGUAACUAUGCACGUCUUGACGGUACCUAAUCAGAAAGCCACGGCUAACUACGUG